GAUGAACGCUGGCGGCGUGCCUAAUACAUGCAAGUCGAGCGAACAGACGAGGAGCUUGCUCCUCUGAUGUUAGCGGCGGACGGGUGAGUAACACGUGGAUAACCUACCUAUAAGACUGGGAUAACUUCGGGAAACCGGAGCUAAUACCGGAUAACAUGUUGAACCGCAUGGUUCAACAGUGAAAGACGGUCUUGCUGUCACUUAUAGAUGGAUCCGCGCCGCAUUAGCUAGUUGGUAAGGUAACGGCUUACCAAGGCAACGAUGCGUAGCCGACCUGAGCGGGUGAUCGGCCACACUGGAACUGAGACACGGUCCAGACUCCUACGGGAGGCAGCAGUAGGGAAUCUUCCGCAAUGGGCGAAAGCCUGACGGAGCAACGCCGCGUGAGUGAAGAAGGUCUUCGGAUCGUAAAACUCUGUUAUUAGGGAAGAACAAAUGUGUAAGUAACUAUGCACGUCUUGACGGUACCUAAUCAGAAAGCCACGGCUAACUACGUG
rnacentral:rRNA from 1 species